UGUACGGAAUUCGCCAGAGAGUGGACUUAGUGCUCGAAAGAGAACCGUAACACAGGUGCUGCAUGGCUGUCGUCAGCUCGUGUCGUGAGAUGUUGGGUUAAGUCCCGCAACGAGCGCAACCCUUGUCAUUAGUUGCUACAUUUAGUUGGGCACUCUAAUGAGACUGCCGGUGACAAACCGGAGGAAGGUGGGGAUGACGUCAAGUCCUCACGGCCCUUAUAGGUAGGGCUACACACGUCAUACAAUGGAUGGUACAAAGGGUCGCCAACCCGCGAGGGGGAGCCAAUCCCAUAAACCAUUCGUAGUCCGGAUCGCAGUCUGCAACUCGACUGCGUGAAGUCGGAAUCGCUAGUAAUCGUGGAUCAGAAUGUCACGGUGAAUACGUUCCCGGGUCUU
rnacentral:rRNA from 1 species